AUCGAACGCUGGCGGCAGGCCUAACACAUGCAAGUCGAGCGGGGUUUUCGAACCUAGCGGCGGACGGGUGAGUAAUGCGUAGGAAGCUACCCGAUAGAGGGGGAUACCAGUUGGAAACGACUGUUAAUACCGCAUAAUGUCUACGGACCAAAGUGUGGGACCUUCGGGCCACAUGCUAUCGGAUGCGCCUACGUGGGAUUAGCUAGUUGGUGAGGUAAUGGCUCACCAAGGCGACGAUCCCUAGCUGGUUUGAGAGGAUGAUCAGCCACACUGGAACGGAGACACGGUCCAGACUCCUACGGGAGGCAGCAGUGGGGAAUAUUGGACAAUGGGCGCAAGCCUGAUCCAGCCAUGCCGCGUGUGUGAAGAAGGCCUUCGGGUUGUAAAGCACUUUCAGUAGGGAGGAAGCGUUGUGUGUUAAUAGUACACAGCGUUGACGUUACCUACAGAAGAAGCACCGGCUAACUCUGUGCCAGCCGCCGCGGUAACAC
rnacentral:rRNA from 1 species